UACGAAGGGUGCAAGCGUUAAUCGGAAUUACUGGGCGUAAAGGGUGCGUAGGCGGUUCGUUAAGUCUGUCGUGAAAUCCCCGGGCUCAACCUGGGAAUGGCAAUGGAUACUGGCUGGCUAGAGUGUGUCAGAGGAUGGUGGAAUUCCCGGUGUAGCGGUGAAAUGCGUAGAGAUCGGGAGGAACAUCAGUGGCGAAGGCGGCCAUCUGGGACAACACUGACGCUCAUGCACGAAAGCGUGGGGAGCAAACAGG
rnacentral:rRNA from 1 species